UCCUUCUUAUUCUUCUUUCUCUUCCUCUUCCUCUUCCUCCUCCUCCUUCUUCUUUGCUUUAUCAGGCUUCAUUUGGGAGAGAGUCUGGCUUUGGUAUUAGCAGAUGAGCUAUAUGAAGAGAACCUUGAGAACCUGUGAACGUUUCACAGGAUGACAUCAUUUAAUUCCAUUGGCACAAGUCUUUCAUUUGGAGCCAUGAUAUCCUGCAUGUUAUGAAGUAGGUG
rnacentral:miRNA from 1 species